rnacentral:rRNA from 1 species
GAUGAACGCUAGCGGCGGGCUUAAUACAUGCAAGUCAAGGGGUAGCAAUACACCGGCGUACGGGUGCGUAACGCGUAUGGAACCUGCCCUUAUCUGGGGGAUAACUCGGGGAAACUCGAGCUAAUACCGCAUAAGAUAGUAGAAUGGCAUCAUUCAGCUAUUAAAGAUUUAUUGGAUAAGGAUGGCCAUGCGUAAGAUUAGAUAGUUGGCGAGGUAACGGCUCACCAAGUCUACGAUCUUUAGGGGCUCUGAGAGGAGAAUCCCCCACACUGGCACUGAGAUACGGGCCAGACUCCUACGGGAGGCUAGCAGUAGGGAAUAUUGGGGCAAUGGACGAGAGUCUGACCCAGCCAUGCCGCGUGCAGGAAGACGGCCCUCGGGUGUAAACUGCUUUGUACGGACGAAAGGUUUGUCUUAAUACGAUGAGCU